rnacentral:rRNA from 1 species
UACGUAGGGGGCGAGCGUUGUCCGGAGUACUGGGCGUAAAGCGCACGCAGGCGGUUUCGUACGUCUGGAGUGACAGUUCCCGGCUCAACUGGGAAAGGUCUUCGGAAACGGCGAGACUUGAGGGCUUCAGAGGGACACGGAAUUCCGGGUGGAGUGGUGAAAUGCGUAGAGAUCCGGAGGAACACCAAUGGCGAAGGCAGUGUCCUGGGAAGCAUCUGACGCUCAGGUGCGAAAGCUAGGGGAGCGAACAGG